rnacentral:lncRNA from 1 species
AGAAAAUAAAAUCAAAAUCGAAAAUAUCGCAACAAUCGUAGUAUUUGAUUUUGAAUAUUUGAGUGUACAAUCUCUAUGAUUCCUCUGAUUCUACUUUUCCAGUAUGAAUUCAAGGGCCUUUGAGCUUGAUCUUGAAUUUGAAUUUUAUUUAUCCGUUGCGAACACUUUGAUUGUCGCCAUGAAUUUUAUCACGAACAAGUAGCCUUGAUCUUGAACGCCUUAUAUUUGAUUUGACUUCGCUCUUGAUCUUGAAUUACUUGAACUGUUUUUC